rnacentral:snRNA from 1 species
AUGGCUUCUUGGCCUGUUGGCUAAGAUCAAGCAUAGAACCCGUACCUGUAUUAAAUGGGUUUUGGGAGCAGGGAGAUGGAAGAAGAGCUUGCUCUAUCUACUCCACACGUUUACCUGGUAUUGAUGUAUAUUUU